rnacentral:rRNA from 1 species
AUCUGAGAGGAGAGGGACCCAUGCUUCGGUAUGGGAGCGUACACAGGUGCUGCAUGGCUGUCGUCAGGCUCGUGUCGUGAGAUGUUGGGUAAGUCCCGCAACGAGCGCAACCCUGCAUCCAGUUGCCAUCGGGCGAGCCGGGCACUCUGGAGGGACUGCCGGCGCAAGCCGGAGGAAGUGGGGGAUGACGUCAAGUCAUCAUGGCCCUUAUGUCCAGGGCGACACACGUGCUACAAUGGCCGGCACAGCGGGAAGCGGAGGGGCGACCCUGAGCGGAUCCCUUGAAAGCCGGUCCCAGUUCGGAUUGCAGUCUGCAACUCGACUGCAUGAAGUUGGAAUCGCUAGUAAUCGCGGAUCAGCCAAGCCGCGGUGAAUACGUUCCCGGGCCUU